UACAGGGGGUGCAAACGUUGCUCGGAAUCAUUGGGCGUAAAGCGCACGUAGGCGGUUCGUUAUGUCGGAUGUGAAAGCCCUUGGCUUAACCGAGGAAGUGCAUCCGAAACUGGCGAGCUAGAGUACGAAAGAGGAUCGCGGAAUUCCCGGUGUAGAGGUGAAAUUCGUAGAUAUUGGGAAGAACACCGGUGGCGAAGGCGGCAACCUGGUCCUUGACUGACGCUGAGGCGCGAAAGCGUGGGAGCAAACAGG
rnacentral:rRNA from 1 species